GCAGAUUGACCUGGUCAUCAUCUGAAUUUCUUGUCUGCUUCUUGGAUGCUGCCAGAAUGUUCCUGAAGUCGGUAUCGGUGGGGUUAUAUCGCCGCCGUGUGAGUGAAGGAGGUGGUUGUCCCCGGAAGAGCUCAUUCUGGCCAAGAAGACACUUUAAGAAGUGGGGGAUAGUGAGUGGGUGAAUUUGAGGCUAAGACAUAUCGGUACAAGUGACAACAGCUAUGCAAGAUGGAAACCUACAUUAUCAACUGCCUGCAUUUCUACUACCCAACUUGUUGAUAUAUAUAAUAUAUAUAUAUAUAUAUAUAUAUAUAUAUAU